rnacentral:rRNA from 1 species
AUGAACGCUAGCGGCAGGCCUAAUACAUGCAAGUCGAACGAUAUUAAGGGGCUUGCUCCUUAAGAAAGUGGCGCACGGGUGCGUAACGCGUAUGCAACCUACCUUAAUCAGGGGGAUAGCCCGAAGAAAUUCGGAUUAACACCGCAUAAAAACACAGAAUAGCAUUAUUCAAUGUUCAAAUAUUUAUAGGAUUAAGAUGGGCAUGCGUGUCAUUAGCUAGUUGGCGGGGUAACGGCCCACCAAGGCGACGAUGACUAGGGGAUCUGAGAGGAUGACCCCCCACACUGGUACUGAGACACGGACCAGACUCCUACGGGAGGCAGCAGUAAGGAAUAUUGGUCAAUGGAGGCAACUCUGAACCAGCCAUGCCGCGUGCAGGAAGACGGCCCUAUGGGUUGUAAACUGCUUUUAUCUGGGAAUAAACCUAAUUACGUGUAAUUAGCUGAAUGUACCAGAAGAAUAAGGAUCGGCUAACUCCGU